AUCGCUUCUCGGCCUUUUGGCUAAGAUCAAGUGUAAAUAAUACAAUAAAAUCUUAAAAUAUAAUUUACAAAGGACUUCAUAAAAUUUAUAUUACAGUAGUCCUCCCUUCUCCAGUUUUCUUUUCCACAGUGUUCAGUUCCCUGCAGUGUAGCAUGGUUUGAAAAUAUUAAAUGGAGAAAUUCUG
rfam:Myotis lucifugus cont2.9435, whole genome shotgun sequence.